rnacentral:rRNA from 1 species
UUUUUAACGGGCUAUGGUAAGGUGGAAACGCAGGACAAAGAGCCCAGCCCUCGUUUCCCGUUCGCUGCCUUCGUCCCCGAUUCCUCUCCCUCUUCCUCAUCUGCCGCCGCCACUCACCGAGCCCUCCGCCACAGCCCAGGCACAACCGCCGCACUCUCCAAGAGCGAACUGCAGGGCGCAUGCCACAUCGAUCGAUUUUACCAUGCUAAAAUAAAAAAAAUUACUCCCUCCUCAUUCGCCCUCUCCCUCGUUUUCUCCUCCCGGCGGCUAGGGUUAGCGCGGCCGCCGCCCCAUCCCUGCUCGCCGCCGCCUCUGCUCCAUCGUCCCAUCCCAUCACUUCCGACGUCGGCCACUGGAGAAGGCGCCCCCCUGAGACCCUCUACUUCCCCAAGCCUUAUAUCUUCGAGUUCCAGCCGGCCACCAUGGUGGUUGCAGAGGACGGGAGCAAGGGGAUGGCAUCGAGGGGCUCUGCCCACUUCUUCGUGCGCGGCCGCCGAUGCAGCUCCACCUCCAUCCCCACGCUUGCAGCCGUGGUGGUUCACGGUGCCGUCGCCGUCUUACUUGGCAGGAGCAACGCGCUCGAUGCUACUCCGAUGUUGCCGUCAAGCGCUGCUUCGCCUUGCUUGUCCCAACUCAGCCAUCGCUGGAGGCCUGCACUUCUGUAGCCAUCUUGUUUACGACUGAUUUUGUUUCUCUAUGCCUACAAGGUGUUCUGUGUCCACUUCCACGGCCCCAAUAUAGCAUGGGAACAUGAGCAAUUCUUGAGGUUUAGGGUGACUGUACUAAGUCUAUGGAAUUGUCCACACCUCCUGAAUUUUUGGAAAGUGCUGGUUGUUUGUAUGACAAUAGGAUUCCAGAUUCAGUGAUUCGUGGUUUUACUCCUUCCGGUGUCCUCUAACUGGCAUCCAUUGAGCUGCUCUGACAUCGACUACAGCAUGGAUGCUCAAUCUGAGGAUGUACAACUUUCAAGGCGCACGGCAGUUUUGAUCAAUUAUCUGCGUCAACACGGAAAGGCGGCGGAGCGAUCUGGAUAAUAUGCCUGGUGUCGGUUUUCUCGCCAUGCUGCGACCAGCACCUCUACAGUGGGAAAGCACACAUGUACCUACUUAUGGUGCUCUUAACUGAAGCCACCAUUGAACCUUAAAUGGUAUCUGGAUGUUUCUAGCCAGAAGACUCGCAACCUCUACUUAUACAAUGGAUUGACUUUGUUUGUCGGAUGGCUGGCCCUUAUCGUCAUGUCAAUCGAACUCUAAUUGAGGGAAUGGCAGCAAAGGAGAUGUUUCACAAGCACCGACAAAACAUGGAGAUUAUGAUUUGGAAGUAGUCGGGGGUCUGGUCAUGGUACGUCGACAGCAAGAAGACGGAUAUUCUUUUUCUGUAAAACAUGACCCUUUGAUUGAUUUGGGUUCACUACUAAACUUUCUAGUGCUUCCUCAUACGACUACCACCUCCGAUUAAUCUCCUUUGGAUUCAGUUAUGUACUUUUGUUUGUUUCCAACUAUUUUUCACUCGGGUUUUUGUGGGUGUUGGUAGCUGGAAUGCAGAGCAUGAAGUGGUGUAAGGUGGUGUUGAUGUGGGACAUUGCAGCUGCUCCCAGAUCAAUUCAAUGUCCAUUUGAAUAUUUUAGUUCCUUUAUGCCUUUGAUUAUAUAUUUUACUGAAUAAUGGGGUUAUACUUGUGGAGAGUACCUGUUUAUAUUUGUUAUGACUAUUCACCUACAAGAGGAGGCAAUUC